rnacentral:rRNA from 1 species
GAUGAACGCUGGCGGCGUGCCUAAUACAUGCAAGUCGAGCGAACGGACGAGAAGCUUGCUUCUCUGAUGUUAGCGGCGGACGGGUGAGUAACACGUGGAUAACCUACCUAUAAGACUGGGUUCACUUCGGGACACCGGAUCUAAUACCCGACAAUAUUUUGAACGGCAUGGUUCAAAAGUGCUAGACGGUCUUGCUCUCCCUUAUACAUGUUUCCGCGCUGCAUUAGCUAGUUGGUACGGUAACGGCUUACCAAGGCAACGAUGCAUAGCCGACCUGAGAGGGUGAUCGGCCACACUGGAACUGAGACACGGUCCAGACUCCUACGGGAGGCAGCAGUAGGGAAUCUUCCGCAAUGGGCGAAAGCCUGACGGAGCAACGCCGCGUGAGUGAUGAAGGUCUUCGGAUCGUAAAACUCUGUUAUUAGGGAAGAACAUAUGUGUAAGUAACUGUGCACAUCUUGACGGUACCUAAUCAGAAAGCCACGGCUAACUACGUG